UACGAAGGGGGCUAGCGUUGUUCGGAUUUACUGGGCGUAAAGCGCACGUAGGCGGAUCGUUAAGUCGGGGGUGAAAUCCUGGAGCUCAACUCCAGAACUGCCUUCGAUACUGGCGAUCUUGAGUCCGGAAGAGGUGAGUGGAACUGCGAGUGUAGAGGUGAAAUUCGUAGAUAUUCGCAAGAACACCAGUGGCGAAGGCGGCUCACUGGCCCAUUACUGACGCUGAGGCACGAAAGCGUGGGGAGCAAACAGG
rnacentral:rRNA from 1 species